UUCCUUCGGGGACCGAGUAGAGUGGCGAACGGGUGAGUAACGCGUGGGUGACCUGCCUCGAGGUGGGGGAUAACCCGGGGAAACCCGGGCUAAUACCGCAUAAGCCUUACGAGGGAAAGUCUUCGGACACCUUGAGAGGGGCCCGCGUCCGAUUAGCUAGUAGGUGAGGUAAGAGCUCACCUAGGCGACGAUCGGUAACCGGUCUGAGAGGACGGACGGUCACACUGGGACUGAGACACGGCCCAGACUCCUACGGGAGGCAGCAGUGGGGAAUUUUGCGCAAUGGGGGAAACCCUGACGCAGCAACGCCGCGUGGAGGAAGAAGGUUUUCGAAUCGUAAACUCCUGUCCGGAGGGAAGAAGAAGUGACGGUACCUCUGGAGGAAGCCCCGGCUAACUCCGUGCCAGCAGCCGCGGUAAUACGGGGGGGGCAAGCGUUGUUCGGAUUUACUGGGCGUAAAGGGCGCGUAGGCGGUCUGAGAAGUUUUGGGUGAAAGCCCCCGGCUCAACCGGGGAAGUGCCUGGAAAACCAUCGGACUAGAGUGCUGGAGAGGCAAGCGGAAUUUCUGGUGUAGCGGUGAAAUGCGUAGAUAUCAGAAGGAACAUCUGAGGCGAAGGCGGCUUGCUGGACAGACACUGACGCUGAGGCGCGAAAGCUAGGGGAGCAAACGGGAUUAGAUACCCCGGUAGUCCUAGCCGUA
rnacentral:rRNA from 1 species